AAACACAACACUUCCUAAACAGAUAUUUUGAGGCUGUGAGGUUGAACGUUUGAGAGUAUAUCAGUGUGUUUGUUUGUGGUCUUUCUGUUUCUAAGUGGAAGCUGAAUUAGUGAGGAUGACUCCUGCUCCUGUCAUCUCUAAGCUCCUCACACAUCUUUACCUGCACAUGAGGAAAAUCACUCCUGUAGAACGCAGUGGUUCAUCAGAACCUCUGGGGAUGUCCUGUGGAUUCUGUGGAUCCUGUGGGUUGCAGGGUGGGUCCUACCUAGACCAGGCUGAUCCUGGACCAUCCCACAGAUGCUCAGUCAGAUCUGGAUGUGGGGAGUGUGGAACCCAGAUGUUCAGAGGGAGACGAUGCCACAUCUGGUCCAGCUGAUGGAAGGUCUUGAAGUUCUCUGACUGGCCUCGACUGAAGAUGGUCGUCUCACUGGAUUUAAGAUGCACAAUGAGGGACGUCUGCAGAGACUGAGAAAGAGUCUCACCACAUCCUUACAUGAGGAAAAAGACUUUAUUGAAGACUACAAUGAGAAAAACUAUCCAGACAGCAGACGGCUGCAUUCAAGGCUACAGGAGGAGCCCUACGAGGACGAGCCGGUCCACCUGAUGGCGGCCAGUCGCUGCGGUUCAAAGCCAACACCGACUACGUGGACUUCUACUGGACCACACGGAGGCCUUCAAACCGGACCAACAAGUUCAGCGACUCCCCGACUCGUGGGUCUGAGGACGCCCCCGAGCCUCGGUCCAGCCGGCCUCCUGUCUGUGGGUGUUUGAGUGCUGAGAGGUUUGUGGAUGCAUGUGAACAUGUCUGUGUUGAAACAGCAGCUUUGGACUCAGUAACGCUGGGAAAAACCAAGAGCUCCUUUAUUUGUGACUUCCACUAAAAAACUGAUGAAAAUAAGUUUGCCAGGGUUCUGACUGAUAACAGAUUAUUAAAUAAUGAAAAUAAUCCUUUAAACAAUCCUUUUAGGUCUACAUUUCCUUUACACUGACUUCUUGGUAUAUGUAC
ensembl:lncRNA